rnacentral:rRNA from 1 species
AUUGAACGCUGGCGGUAUGCUUAACACAUGCAAGUCGAACGGUAACAGGCUCUAGCUUGCUAGAGUGCUGACGAGUGGCGGACGGGUGAGUAACGCGUAGGGAUCUGUCUAAUAGCUUGGGACAACACGGGGAAACUCGUGCUAAUACCAAAUACACUCUAAGGAGGAAAGGUGGGGGUUAAACCCUGUCGCUAAUAGGGGAACCUGCGUUGGAUUAGCUAGUUGGGGGGGUAAUGGCCUACCAAGGCGACGAUCCAUAGGUGUUCUGAGAGGAAGAUCAGCCAAACUGGCACUGAGACACGGCACAGACUCCUACGGGGGGGAGCGGGGGGGAAUAUCGGACAAUGGGCGGAAGCCUGAGACAGCAAUACCGCGUGUGUGAAAAAGGGCUGAGGGUUGUAAAGCACUUACGGCAAGGAGAAAGUAAAUGGAGUUAAUAGUUCUGUAUAUUGACGUUACUUGCAGAAGAAGCACCGGCUAACUCUGUGCCAGCAGCCGCCGUAA